CGCGGGGACGGAGCCGUCAGGGCAGCGACGCUGCGGCGUGGGCCGAGGAUCCUCUCCUUGGUAGCACCUCCCUCCCCAUCCCCGUGACGGUUUCAACUUUUGCAGUCUCCCUGGAGACAGUUAAGCAAGUUUCUGGUGUUUUCCGGUGCUAAAGGGCCCUGGGAGCCGAAGAUGCACGGAGAAGCCUACACGAGCCAGAAUUAAUUCGCUCCUAAUCGCGGCGCGCAGCCGGCCUGGGCUGACCUCCGCACGUCCUUCCCUGCGCCCAGCGGGGACCAUCCCCGGGUGGGACCCUCCCGGCCCCAUCCCCGUCCCGCUGGUGCCUGCUGCGAGCCCGGCUCUUGGCAGAGCUCCCCGGCCCUUCCUGCCUCGCCUCCCUCGCUGCAAGCCUGCCCAGGCCCCGGCCCAGCCAUGCGGGCUGUGUUUGUACACAGAUGAGUAACAGCUCCAGCGCUCGCACAGCGCCCAGCCCGCUGCCGGCAGCAGCGCCCCCAGGGGUGGAGGCAGAGAAGGGAGCGGCGGCGCUGCCGGGGCCAUCAGUGGUGCCACGCGGUGCCUGGCCAGGCAGCGAUGUGCCCAGGCAGGGUGUGAGGCACCGCCGGGGCUCGUCCCCAAGGACGCCGAGCCACCGUCAUCCCUU
rnacentral:lncRNA from 1 species